rnacentral:lncRNA from 1 species
GCUAUCCUAUUUUAGUUAGUUUGCCUCUAGUCGGCCUUCAUUGGUUGGCAUUCUUAAAUCAAUCUUUUCAUUUUGACUUUCAAAAACUUGGCUUCGAGAGAUCGAUCUUCGGAAGCUUCGACUUUUAAAAGCUCACUUUUGAGGGAUUGUCCUUUGGAGGUUGAUUUUUAAGCGAUUGACUUUGAUCUUUGUGUCAGUUCUAUCUUGAUCUUCAUCUCAGCUCGAUCUUGAUCUUCACC